CACCCCCGCCUCCCCUUUGAGCACCCCUUCCAUCUCUGCCAUCUCCCCCGUCUCCCCCAUCUCCCCCUUCUUUCUCCAUCCAGGGGGCAGAGCCACCGAGGUGGCAGUUCUAACAAGCUGCCGGGGACCGCGCUGCUCAAAUGAGCCAAAUCAAAGGGAAAAGGGGGGCAGGAUAGGUAGUGCCAUGAACCUCCCGCGGAGAACAACCACUCUGAUGAAUAGACGAUGAAUUUGUGUUGCUUGACACGACAAACCCAAGGAUAACCCAGUGUUCACUCGACAUUUUUAUCUUGUAAUAACCAACAACCCCCAAAAAUAAUAGAAAUGACUGCAGCAAUGACCGGCCAGUAACGUGUGUAUUGUUUGUGGGACAGAUUUGAACAUUGGACAGUCAGAUGGAAAUGAAAUUUUGUUGUCGAUAGAAAGAAAUGUGAAGAUCGAGGUGUGAGUUCAUGUCCUCUUUGAUGAGAACACAGGAUGUUGGAACCACAAUUGUUCUGUUUUUGUUCAAGGCUUGAAUUUGAUUUUUUUUUUUACUUUAUUUAAUAGAUUUAUUGAUUAACUCAUUGGCAUUUCAAAUAAAACACAACACUCUCCUAUUACUUUAUGCUAAAUUGAUAUUCUUCCACAUCCUUCAUCCAUCUUGGGGCAUCUUUUCAUUGUUUAACAUCCAUGAUGAAAUUGGGUCGUUCCACUGCGACAGUCCCCUUAAAAAAGCGUAUUUAGGCUUCAGUCUGUCACCUCCUCAGCACACUUUCCAACACGUUAGUGACCAUGAAAAUCCCCACGCACAAACGCACGCUGGUGCAUAUACAUGUACCCUGUGCUUCAUUUAACACACACAGAGGCAGGGCAUCAUGGUAAAGCUGGAAAACAAGGAAGAGCACAGAAAUUGCAGAAGCUGGAGUUAUCAUUUCUGUUCUGAAAUGCUUGUGGCAUGAUAGAGGAACCAUUGAAAUUGUUCAUUCUAAGAGGGGGGAAAAGGAAAUGUUGAGUAUAAUAACGUGACUGAUAAUGCCUCCGUUUUAUUCUCCUAUUUCUGUGCAGUAUCACUGUUCUGAACAGAGAUUUCACCAUGAUUUUACAGUUUAUAAAAUGUAAUAGAUAUUGUUUGUUUCCUGGUGUUUUAGGUUUCCUGGAAGUUCAAGCAAUUACACGACGAAUAGUACUUCUUUUCUGGUAUAUCCAUUUAAGAGAACAAGAACAGUUCUAAUUUAUUUAGUCAUUUAAACCCACAAAUUUACUUUAACAAUAUUCUAUAACAGCUUUUCUUCUGCAGAGAGUUUUAGAAAGGUUGAUUUGACAUGCAUCCCAUUUCUCAUGUCACACAGUAAACUGUAUGGUUUACUGUGCAACGUCUGUGUCCAGCCAGUCCAGAGCUUCUGCAUUUCCACUGGGAUACAGACAGAUAUUUACCUGGCGGUCAGACUUACCUCCGCCCUCUUGCAUCAGCUCCAUCGUGUUGCCUGUGUCGCACCUCCAUGCAACGAGAAUGUUUUCCUGGAAAGAGCAACAUGUGACGACUUAUUCUGUCAUUAAAAAAAGCAAGAUAUCAUUUAUAACGGCCAAGAAAAACUGCUGCACUUUACGAACUGUGUUUGUGGACACAAUAAAAGCAGUUCUCCAGAAAGCCACUCAAACAUAGACUGAUUGGACAAAAGGGAUUGGAGAAAAUCUGGGCCACAGCAGAAUCCAGCCUGCCCCUCUGCUAACCUCCACUUAAACAACACAGCAGCCAUUUCCUCCUUCUCUCCCUGGAGCCCCUCGCCACUUGCUGAAGAACCAGUUUGGGCGGCUGCAGCACAGGUGCUGUGACAUCUGUCAUUUUUACCCCUCUAUAUAUAAUGUGUGAAAUCGCCACCUUAUCUCAGGUUUUCACGUUGUUGUUGUUAGCUGAGCAUAGAGCUUUUUCAUACACUGUAAAAUUAAUAUGUAUUUUAUUUGGUUUUUUUUUUAUCUUUUUAACAUAAUCUAAAAAAAAAACAAAUAUCAUUUUUAUUUGCUCAUGUAUUUUUACAUUUUUGUGACUUAAUUAGAAAACAAUCUUGGUACAGAAAUAAUUAUAAUAAAAAAAGAUCUUAAAAUAGCAAAAAUGAAUUUUGUUACUUCAGACAUAUUAUUAUUUAUUCAUUUUUAAUUCAAAAGGAUUCAAGAAUGUAAUGUCCCUUUUUUGUGCAAAUGCAUCUGGCAGGAAUCAGCUGACCUUGCUGGGUGAACUGAAAAGGAAAGAGGCUGUUUCGCUUUAGCUCUGGCCCGACUGCAGAAGUCAGAGCACUAAAUCCAUGGCAUGUCUGCAAAAUCAGGCGUGAUGGAAUGAUUAUAGUCCUGAACUAAACUGUAAAAGAAACAGGAAAACUUCUCCACUAUAUAGCUUUUGGAACCGUUGAAGUCAAAUGUAAAAAAAAUAAAAAGAUAGAAAAGAAUUUGCACAAUUUGAAUAUUCAAUUUUCUCAACAAAAAUAUUUUAAUGCAAGAUUCUAGCAGAACUAAAUGCAAUUGAAUAAUUGAAGGGUUGAUACUCAUAUAAUUAUAAUCAAGUAUUUUUGUAAUAUCUAUGUUCACAUAAAAAUUAGUGAUAAAAAUCUUUAGUUUUUGCAAUUGUCCCUGCAAAUGUUCCAUUUCAGGUUUAGGUUUUAAUAAACACAAGAGUUGGAUAUGACGUGCUGAUUCUUUUUUCUAUCUUUCUCCAUUUCUUAAUACAUUUAUAUUUGUUACAUCUUUGAAAAAAAAAAAAAAAGACUUCUUUUUCCUCAAAUCGACAUCUCACCUUUUUAUUUUCCUCAGCUGCUCUGACAGCCAUGAAUCUUGUCACUCAUGUUUUUCAUCAAGUCUCGUCCAUGGAGCGUGUGGUGACUCUUGGAUUUAGCCGCUGAAGCGAACGCAAUGGUCAGAAAGGGAGUCGCAAAGCAAGCUGAGGGGAGAAAAAAAAAA